GUGGUUGACUUUCGGUGGAGGAACCAAACUCAUCGUCACCGGUCCCACGGUGAAGCCCUCCGUGUCUCUGCUCCCUCCCUCCUCUCUGCAGCUGUCUGAGGGAUCGGCCUCGCUGCUCUGCCUGCUGUCUGCCUACUCUCCACAGGGGGCGCUGGUGAGCUGGACAGUGGACGGCUCAGAGGUGAAGGACGGGGUUCUGACCAGCGCAGAAGAACAGAAGAAGGACGGGUACACACGCAGCAGCACCCUGACCCUCAGCAAAGCGCUCUGGGAAAAGGGGGAGGAGUUUGUCUGUAAGGUCUCCCAUGACAACGUCGAUCAUCCGGUCACGUUCAGAAAGAGCCAGUGUGAAGUCUAACAGCUCCAAGAUAGAAUUGAACACUGAGCUGCUUACACAUCCAUCUACAAUAGAGUUUCAAUUCUACACAAUGCUGACAUUUCUGUCUUUACUCUCUUCACUGUCCUGUUGCUCUUCCUGUAGUUUUGCUCUGCUGAAAUAAAGCUUCAUUUUGGA